rnacentral:rRNA from 1 species
CACGCCCUAAACGAUGUCAACUAGGUGUUGGGUGGGUAAAACCAUUUAGUACCGUAGCUAACGCGUGAAGUUGACCGCCUGGGGAGUACGGCCGCAAGGUUAAAACUCAAAGGAAUUGACGGGGACCCGCACAAGCGGUGGAUGAUGUGGAUUAAUUCGAUGCAACGCGAAAAACCUUACCUACCCUUGACAUGCCAGGAACUUGCCAGAGAUGGCUUGGUGCCCGAAAGGGAGCCUGGACACAGGUGC